rnacentral:rRNA from 1 species
GGCGGCGUGCCUAAUACAUGCAAGUAGAACGCUGAAGGAGGAGCUUGCUUCUCUGGAUGAGUUGCGAACGGGUGAGUAACGCGUAGGUAACCUGCCUGGUAGCGGGGGAUAACUAUUGGAAACGAUAGCUAAUACCGCAUAAGAGCAGUUGUUGCAUGACAGCUGUUUAAAAGGUGCAAUUGCACCACUACCAGAUGGACCUGCGUUGUAUUAGCUAGUUGGUGAGGUAACGGCUCACCAAGGCGACGAUACAUAGCCGACCUGAGAGGGUGAUCGGCCACACUGGGACUGAGACACGGCCCAGACUCCUACGGGAGGCAGCAGUAGGGAAUCUUCGGCAAUGGGGGCAACCCUGACCGAGCAACGCCGCGUGAGUGAAGAAGGUUUUCGGAUCGUAAAGCUCUGUUGUAAGAGAAGAACGAGUGUGAGAGUGAAAGUUUCAACGCUGUG